GACGAACGCUGGCGGCGUGCUUAACACAUGCAAGUCGAACGGUGAACCAGAGCUUGCUCUGGGGAUCAGUGGCGAACGGGUGAGUAACACGUGGGCAACCUGCCCCAGACUCUGGGAUAACCUCGGGAAACCGAUGCUAAUACCGGAUACGACCACUUCGGACAUCCGACGGUGGUGGAAAGUUUUUCGGUCUGGGAUGGGCCCGCGGCCUAUCAGCUAGUUGGUGGGGUAAUGGCCUACCAAGGCGACGACGGGUAGCCGGCCUGAGAGGGCGACCGGCCACACUGGAACUGAGACACGGUCCAGACUCCUACGGGAGGCAGCAGUGGGGAAUAUUGCACAAUGGGCGAAAGCCUGAUGCAGCGACGCCGCGUGAGGGACGACGGCCUUCGGGUUGUAACCGUACUUUCUAGCAGGACGAAGCGAAGUGACUGUACCUGCAGAAGAAGCACCGGCUAACUACGUGCCAGCAGCCGCGGUAAU
rnacentral:rRNA from 1 species